CACCUUACCUUCCCCGUUGGUUGUCGUCCGUUCGCCCCUACCCGAACCGGACCCGGGCCCGGUCCGGUACCGGUACGGUCGACGAAGGAAGGAAAGGGUAAAGGGUAAGGGUUAACCUUACCUAGUUGGUUAGUACGGGUCGGGUAAAGUAAAAGUGGCCGACAAGGAAGUAAUUAGUGGGAAAGGAAACCCAACCAGGUUCGGUAACGGAAGGGACCGUUACCUUUUCGUUCGGUUCGUUAAGUUAAAGUAGGACCGUCGUAGAUUGGUCGGAACGAAACGGCGUUGGUAGGUAUAACAAACGAGUAGUUAGUAACCUACCGUAGGUACGUACCACCGAACCGUAAAGUAUAGAGUGUACUAGUUGGUAGGGGUUUCCCGCCCCUUUAGUGCUGCAGCUAACGCAUUAAGCACUCCGCCUGUGGAGUACGACCGCAAGGUUGAAACUCAAAGGAAUU
rnacentral:rRNA from 1 species